rnacentral:rRNA from 1 species
AUGGAUCCGCUUGACGAGGAGUCCUUCUUGGACGAGCUCAUGCCGCUUCAACGGGAGGAGGCGCCGGCGCUGACUUACCAGGGCAGCAACGGCAUGAUGACGAUCAGCGACCUCCUCUUCUACGGCGGCGAGGCCUGCACUGCCGAGGAGAGCAGUAGCGUGGGCUUUGUCUGGCCAUUUCAGCAGCCCAUGCCGCCCUCGCCACCGGCCGCGCGUCCGCACCCGCCGAACCAGGAGUUCAACUUUAACUACCUGAGCGAAGUGUGCAACCCCUGGAGGAGCUACAUCCCUGACCCUCCUGCGGUCGUCCAGGCUGCUGCCGGCAAGGGGCCGCUCACUCUUCCCCUCCAUGACGCUCUUGCGAGCUCGUCAACGUUCGUGUUCGGGGGAGGGGACGGGGAGAGCUUGGGGAUGAGAAGCAUGCCGGCCUUCGGCACCCACCCAGAGAGCAAGCUCAACGCCGGAAGCGGAACUCCGUCAAAGAACCUCAUGGCGGAAAGGCGGCGCCGGAAGCGGCUCAACGACCGCCUUUCCAUGCUCCGCUCCACCGUGCCCAAGAUUAGCAAGAUUGGCGCCACGCCCGAGGAGCUGAACCUGCUCAAAAAUUUCUCCAGCGGUGGCAAUGAGGAGACGCCGACGAGGAGUUCCACCAAGGUAUGUGCAAACGUCGAGAACCGAGGCGGAGGCGACACGAAGAUUGAGAUCUUCUGCUCGACAAACCCCGGAGCGCUGAUCGCGACGGUGACCGCGCUGGACGUGCUGGGGUUGGAGAUCAAGCAGUGCGUCGUGAGUUGCUUCAGUGACUUCGCCAUGCAGGCCUCGUGCUCACAAGCGGAAGGGAAGAGGCAGGUGAUAAGCACAGACGAGAUCAAGCAGGCAUUGUUGAGGAGCGUAGGCUACGGGGGAAGGUGUCUAUAA